CUUCAGAGCAAUGAGGUUGAAUGUCUUCAGAGUGAUAUUCAAAGGCUUGAAGACAAGGUAAUGUACAUCUUAAAAAUAUGCCCAAUGUGUGCGCUUUCUGUUAUAAAAAUAAAACUGAUGUUUACAUAAACAAACAUUUCUCAUCUUCACACAGAAUGAAAAACUAAUCUUUGAGAAAACAUGCUCUGAAGAAAGCCUCAACAAACUGAGGAAGGUCAACGCUGAAUUGAGGGUAAGAAGAGAUGAGUGUAAUUGUCUCUACACUGUAAUGAGUUUGUGUUGUUAGUAAAAGCCUGUAUGUUCACAGGCUGGACUUGAGGAAACUCUGAUUAUGUUGACACUGAGAGACAGAGAAAUAUCAAAGGUAAGUACAUUUUUUUUCCUAACGAUGAAAGUUGAAAUUGUCACAUUUUAAAAUUUUUAUUUUAACUGUCUAGAAAGACAUUCUUAUGGAAAAGAUGAAGAAUACUCAUGUGGAGAAUCACAGAAUGAUAGAGGUAUGUUUGAUAGAGCUUAGAGUUGAAGGGAGAAUAUUCGAUACUGUAAAUGCCAUGACAUCAUAUUGAAUGCUAAUCAGAUGUUACUAAAAUCUUUUUCCUCUAUUCCGGUGUUGUAGGGUCUGCAAUCCGAGCUGAUGAGAUUACACGAACAUUCAAACCAAGUUCUUCUGAGGUAUGAAAGACAUUGUAUCAGCCCUCAGGGACUUUACAGUCGUGAGCCUCCAAACCAUCGCUCUCUGCAGAGCGAGAUGAAGGACAUGCAGCAGGAACAUCACAGAGCUUUGGAUGAUAUAAGUCUCCUAUCACACACGCACAGCGAUGAUAUUCAAAGCAUUAUCCAAAGGAUCACGAAUGCAGAAAUAGCUCACCUUCUUCACAAUAAAUAUCUCGAGAGGGACUGUGCUCCUGUGGAAAUGCAGGAGAGGCCUUUUCCUCAACAGCAACAGGCAAGAAUCAAGCAGCAGCUUCUCAAUGUGUAUGUGAUUUUUUUUUAACCUCCCUUUCUCCUCUUAUGGUAACAGAUUGGUUUUGGUUGAUGUUAGUCUUUGUUCUGAGAAGCUAAGCUAAUAAAAAGAGUGUCUGGUUUUUACAGUGUAUUUAUGGGCAUCUCCAUUACAUAACCAUACCAGUUACCAUCUUCCGUGUGCAAGACCGUAUCAGGGAUAAGUGCACUUUUAGUACCCCUUGGUAACUACAGACAUUACAGCGAUGUUUAUAAAGCUGUGGUGGUGGUUUCAGGCUGCAGGAGCUCGAAUUGUACAAGUAUGUGUGGGAGGAUAAAGGGGAGAAGGUGGAGGAUCAGCAGAGAGCCUGGGAUAGGGAACAAAAGGAAAGUCAGAGUGGGAGCCAGAUUCCCAUCAAGGAGGCCAAGAAGGUGGCUGUGGCAAAGUGGUGGAAAGCCCUCAGCGUAGAGGGGGCUAAGGUCCGAAGUAAAGACAUUAAGU
rnacentral:lncRNA from 1 species